GACAGCAGCACCGCGGGAAUACGGAGGGUGCAAGCGUUAAUCGGAAUUACUGGGCGUAAAGCGCACGCAGGCGGUCUGACAAGUCAGAUGUGAAAUCCCCGGGCUUAACCUGGGAACUGCAUUUGAAACUGUCAGGCUGGAGUCUUGUAGAGGGGGGUAGAAUUCCAGGUGUAGCGGUGAAAUGCGUAGAGAUCUGGAGGAAUACCGGUGGCGAAGGCGGCCCCCUGGACAAAGACUGACGCUCAGGUGCGAAAGCGUGGGGAGCAAACAGGAUUAGAGACCCGAGUAGUCCCUGUCUCUUAUACA
rnacentral:rRNA from 1 species